rnacentral:rRNA from 1 species
UACGGAGGGUGCAAGCGUUAAUCGGAAUUACUGGGCGUAAAGCGCACGCAGGUGGCUGAGUCAGUCGAUUGUGAAAGCCCUGGGCUCAACCUGGGAAUUGCAGUCGAUACUACUCAGCUAGAGUAUGGGAGAGGGCAGUGGAAUUCCCGGUGUAGCGGUGAAAUGCGUAGAUAUCGGGAGGAACAUCAGUGGCGAAGGCGGCUGCCUGGCCCAAUACUGACACUCAGGUGCGACAGCGUGGGGAGCAAACAGG